rnacentral:rRNA from 1 species
GACGAACGCUGGCGGCGUGCUUAACACAUGCAAGUCGAACGGAAAGGCCCUGCUUUUGUGGGGUGCUCGAGUGGCGAACGGGUGAGUAACACGUGAGUAACCUGCCCUUGACUUUGGGAUAACUUCAGGAAACUGGGGCUAAUAUCGGAUAGGAGCUCCCGCUGCAUGGAGGGGGUUGGAAAGUUUCGGCGGUUGGGGAUGGACUCGCGGCUUACCAGCUUGUUGGUGGGGUAGUGGCUUACCAAGGCUUUGACGGGUAGCCGGCCUGUGAGGGUGACCGGCCACAUUGGGACUGAGAGACGGCCCAGACUCCUACGGGAGGCAACAGUGGGGAAUAUUGCACAAUGGGCGGAAGCCUGAUGCAGCAACGCCGCGUGCGGGAUGACGGCCUUCGGGUUGUAAACCGCUUUCGCCUGUGACGAAGCGUGAGUGACGGUAAUGAGUAAAGAAGCACCGGCUAACUACGUG